AAACACUAUUUUCUUGUCGAAAGUUAUUCUGUUUUCUUUAUGUUUCUUCGUAAUUUUCUUAGUAUUUUGGAAUAAAUUUAACGCCAUAUUAAACAUUAUACUGCAACUUCCCUGUUCCCUCCUAUGACCAACAGACAGCAGUCAUCAGCAAAAGUUUUCGAAGUCCGUUUAGCUAAGCAGUUUUUCAACUACUAACUACUACUACUACAACUCUACUAUAAAGCAGUCUCUUUAUUGGAUUUGUGUGGUCCUUGAGCCAAUGCUGACCUUUGUCCAUGACAGAAGAGUGACAUCCACCAACAUUCUGCUCCAUUCUUAUCUUCGUGAAACACACUCAUCUAGCUUCACUGCUUCUUUUGCUGCUACACAUCUUGUUGUACUUCACUGACGAGUAAUCGCCCGUGAGUACUCACCUUAGUAACCACCAUCUUCAUCCGCACCUGUAGUCACUCAUCACGGGAUUAUGCUCAGGAGGAAACGUGAAAGGGUUGUGCAGCCUACUACCGACUAUUUUGUUCAAAAUCAUUGUAUUCUACUGAAUGUCCCAUCGAAAUGAUAUCAGAAUUCAUCAUAAUUUUUCUUGUUGUAUUGGACUUGCUAUAUCACCAACCCCAGCACAGAC